UGUCAAGCGUUAAGCGCCGUUUCGGUGAGCGGAUUUCUUUUGCCUGAUCAAAGGGUGAAAGCAAUG
rfam:Phyllobacterium sp. YR531 PMI41_contig_6.6, whole genome shotgun sequence.